rnacentral:rRNA from 1 species
UACGUAGGGACCAAGCGUUGUUCGGAUUUACUGGGCGUAAAGGGCGCGUAGGCGGCGCGGCAAGUCACUUGUGAAAUCUCUGAGCUUAACUCAGAACGGCCAAGUGAUACUGCAGUGCUAGAGUGUGGAAGGGGCAAUCGGAAUUCUCGGUGUAGCGGUGAAAUGCGUAGAUAUCGAGAGGAACACCUGCGGCGAAGGCGGGUUGCUGGGCUGACACUGACGCUGAUGCGCGAAAGCCAGGGGAGCGAACGGG